rnacentral:rRNA from 1 species
GAUGAACGCUGGCGGCGUGCCUGAUACAUGCAAGUAGAACGCUGAAGCUUGGUGCUUGCACCGAGCGGAUGAGUUGCGAACGGGUGAGUAACGCGUAGGUAACCUGCCUCUUAGCGGGGGAUAACUAUUGGAAACGAUAGCUAAUACCGCAUAAAAGACGAUAUCGCAUGAUAUUGAUUUGAAAGGUGCAAAUGCAUCACUAAGAGAUGGACCUGCGUUGUAUUAGCUAGUUGGUGAGGUAACGGCUCACCAAGGCAACGAUACAUAGCCGACCUGAGAGGGUGAUCGGCCACACUGGGACUGAGACACGGCCCAGACUCCUACGGGAGGCAGCAGUAGGGAAUCUUCGGCAAUGGGGGCAACCCUGACCGAGCAACGCCGCGUGAGUGAAGAAGGUUUUCGGAUCGUAAAGCUCUGUUGUAAGAGAAGAACGAGUGUGAGAGUGGAAAGUUCACACUGUGACG